GAGGGUAUAGCUCAGUGGUAGAGUGUGUGCUUAGCAUGCAUGAGGUCCUGGGUUCAAUCCUUGGUAUCGCCA
rnacentral:tRNA from 1 species